rnacentral:rRNA from 1 species
UGGGGAAUCUUGGACAAUGGGCGCAAGCCUGAUCCAGCCAUGCCGCGUGAGUGAAGAAGGCCUUCGGGUUGUAAAGCUCUUUUUACCAGGGACGAUAAUGACGGUACCUGGAGAAUAAGCCCCGGCAAACUUCGUGCCAGCAGCCGCGGUAAUACGAAGGGGGCUAGCGUUGUUCGGAAUUACUGGGCGUAAAGCGCACGUAGGCGGAUUGUUAAGUCAGAGGUGAAAUCCCGGAGCUCAACUUCGGAACUGCCUUUGAUACUGGCAAUCUAGAGUCCGGAAGAGGUUAGUGGAAUUCCCAGUGUAGAGGUGAAAUUCGUAGAUAUUGGGAAGAACACCAGUGGCGAAGGCGGCUAACUGGUCCGGUACUGACGCUGAGGUGCGAAGCGUGGGGAGCAAACAGGAUUAGAUACCCCAGUAGUCCCUGAGCGGGCUGGCAAGGCGCAU